rnacentral:rRNA from 1 species
UGACCGCUGGCGGCGUGCUUAACACAUGCACGUCGAACGGAAAGGCUCCUGCUUGCAGGGGUACUCGAGUGGCGAACGGGUGAGUAACACGUGGGUGAUCUGCCCUGCACUUCGGGAUAAGCCUGGGAAACUGGGUCUAAUACCGGAUAGGACGAUGGUUUGGAUGCCAUUGUGGAAAGUUUUUCGGUGUGGGAUGAGCUCGCGGCCUAUCAGCUUGUUGGUGGGGUAAUGGCCUACCAAGGCGUCGACGGGUAGCCGGCCUGAGAGGGUGUACGGCCACAUUGGGACUGAGAUACGGCCCAGACUCCUACGGGAGGCAGCAGUGGGGAAUAUUGCACAAUGGGCGCAAGCCUGAUGCAGCGACGCCGCGUGGGGGAUGACGGCCUUCGGGUUGUAAACUCCUUUCGCUAGGGACGAAGCGCAAGUGACGGUACCUGGAGAAGAAGCACCGGCUAACUACGUG